rfam:Stegodyphus mimosarum contig7280, whole genome shotgun sequence.
GCCUUCGUGGUGUAGUGGUUGCAUGCUCGACGCGUAACCGAGAGGUCCGUGGUUCGAUUCCCGGCGAAGGCG